rnacentral:rRNA from 1 species
UAGGGAAUCUUCCACAAUGGACGAAAGUCUGAUGGAGCAACGCCGCGUGAGUGAUGAAGGGUUUCGGCUCGUAAAACUCUGUUGUUGGAGAAGAACAGGUGUGAGAGUAACUGUUCACAUCUUGACGGUAUCCAACCAGAAAGCCACGGCUAACUACGUGCCAGCAGCCGCGGUAAUACGUAGGUGGCAAGCGUUGUCCGGAUUUAUUGGGCGUAAAGCGAGCGCAGGCGGUUUCUUAGGUCUGAUGUGAAAGCCUUCGGCUUAACCGGAGAAGUGCAUCGGAAACCAGGAGACUUGAGUGCAGAAGAGGACAGUGGAACUCCAUGUGUAGCGGUGAAAUGCGUAGAUAUAUGGAAGAACACCAGUGGCGAAGGCGGCUGUCUGGUCUGUAACUGACGCU